AGAAGGCCAGAGCACCUGGGACCUUGUUUUACUAAAGCUUAUUAUGUUUCAGUGGCCCUGGUUCCCCAUGACAAAAGUACAAAGAGUACCCGCAAGAAGUAAGUUGAAGAUAAGGAGUGAGGAGAAGGAAGGUUAGUGGUAAGGCCACCAGUGAUUCUAACAGCAAAGGGACAAGAAAAAAGACUGGAACUUUAUUUAGAGGAUAAAGCUGAUGCCUGGCUUGCCAUCUUGCCCAGAUGGGACCUCAGGCAUAGGUUCCUAACUGUGAAUAUCCUGAUUUUGAAGAAAACAGUAGAUUAAUUUCAACUGCUGGCAGCUUUCACUUGACCUUGCAAAGGUUACAAUUAUCCAGAAAUCUCAUACCUAUGAGGGAAGCCAACUUCUGUGUCAUGAGGACAUUCAAGCAGCACUAUGGAGCCAUCCAUGUGGCUAGGAGCUGAAACUGAGCCAAGAAGCAGUGAGGAACUGGCUGGUAACAGCCAUGUGGGUAAAAGCCAUCUGAGAAGUGCAUGCUCUAGUCUCAGUCAAGCCUUCAGAAGACUGUGGCACCUGACAUCUCCACUGCAACCUCAUUAGAAACUCAAGACAGAACUGCCAGAGAAGCUCUUCCUGAAUUUCUGACCUACAGAAACGGAAGAAAUUGUGUUUUGGAAUUGGGCCAACAGUAUGUGUUUCUCCGGUGGAUAAGCAAAAUUUCAUAAGAACAAAGAUGAUUCAAGCAGAUGUUUAUCAUGAAACUGCCAUAAAAAGCACCCGAAGUCACAAAGAUAAACAUCAAAUCCAGUCCUUGGAAAUUUCCCCCACCCUACCUGAGCAUCUUUUGAAGUAGAUAUUCAAUUAUUUUGAAGGAUUUUUAAAGAAUUUUCUAGAUUUCAUCUAAAAGACACUUUUGAAAUCUGCGUUAAAAUUCAUGGAAAUAUAUCCUAGAUGAAUUUGGAGGAAUGUAAGCAAGUAGGUACAAACCUUUAUUUUAUCCCUCAGUGACUCACUCAGUUGUGAAUAGGAAGGGCUCUCUGUGAUCUGGCCACAGCUUAUUUCUUGCCACAUUCCUAUUUUCAGUCCUCUUCCAAUCAUGUGGAACUUCCAGCAUCUCCUUACACAUGCCAUGUUAUUUCACACUUUUGUGACUUUGCUCAUAUUUUUCUCUCUCCCUGGAAAGCUCCCCGACAACCUCCACUGCCAUUACCCACUAGGCAAGUACAUCCUGUUUUCAGAAUCAGCCCAAUAUCAUCUUUCCUAGGGAAUCUUGUCAGACUGCCCUUCAUUACCAACAGACAAAAUAACUACCUUAUCUUUGGUUCUGUCUUCACUCUAGACCUAUGUAGCAUGCUACUUAUAACACUGCAUUGGUUUGUUGGCAUUUGUAUUUUCCACUGAGCAACCAUAACUUAUGUGUAGACAAAAAUUGUAUUGCUCACCUUUGGAUUACUAGGACCUAGCAGUGUUCUGAUUCAGAGUAUGUACUCAAUAAAUUCAUCUUGAAAAGUGAAUGAAUGAAUAAAUGAACGCCUGCAUCUCCAUCAUUGAUUUACUAUUUAAUCAGUGAAGUUUUUAAAUUAUAUUCCCCCAUAUCUUGAGAUUUGAUCUUGUGUUAAAUCAGUUGCACAUAUUAGACAUUACUUUGUCCUUUUCACUUCUCCUUAGCACAUAUGGGCUAUAUAAUCUUUAUAAAGGUUAAAGAAAUAUAUUGUAAUAUGUUAUAACACAAUCAAGAUACAUCUGAAACAACAUAGUGCAGGCACUAUUUCCGAUGUUCAACAUCAUGCUGGAGUAAAACUUAGAGACUCUUGGAAAAAAGAAAUACUUAAAUAAUGUCACCAGUGUAAUGUGCUACAUUGUAAUGGUGUUAUGCUUAUUACAUGUGUUAUCUAGUAAUGCACAAAAAGCCUAAUGGAUUUGCUCAUAUUUUCCUCAUGUGCAAAUGAAAACACUGAGUCUCAGAGAGAUUAAAUAAAUUGCCAAAUGUCAUGUCAAGCGAUUUUGAUCCUGGUAUUUCUAAUAUAAAAGCCCAUGUUUUAAUUUAUUAACUGUUUGACAUAUAACAAUAAUAGAUCAUUACAUGUUAAUAUAAAUAACCUAUGUAUGAAGACUAAUUAUAUUUUUACUUCUGCAUUCAAUCAACUGCAACAUGUCAUUUUGGUUGAUGUGUACAGAAAAUACUCAACAUCUCGCAGAUAUUGGGUUGGAAAACAGAGGACAUUUUUAUAUCUGUUUCAGAUAAAUGUAUAUAUUUUUCUUUGAUAGUACACCAAAAUUUGACAAGUGACUAUUUCUUAAAGGGUAGUUGCAGCAUGAAAUCCAAAAUAACAUCAAUAAACUUUUCAUUCUCUGUUACACUAAAAUUCAUUGGUUUUAUCUUACACAAAGUGUGGAUGAUUUUGUAACAUCAUGUGUUGGUCAUUUAGAAAACAUUAUUCCACUGGGUUAUGCAGAUUUUCUAAAUGCUGACACAUUUCAUUUUAUAAUUUCAAAAAUGAACAUUUAUUAAUGUCACCAAUAUCAUCAAAAUGUUUGAACUACUGGGACGCAUCAAGUUCAUUCUGGUAGACACACAUUUUUCAACAUGUAACUCUUCCUUGAAAACUCAAAUUUUAUCAUUGACAACAAAUGCGGUCAGUUGUUUUCCUUGAAUUAUCAAACUCACUUUGCUCAUUUUUGAGAAAAUAUUUGCCAAUUAUCCAAGUCUGAAUAGACAUGGUUUCUUUGUCAAUGUUCGUUCUUUUAAUGGUGUUUUCUGAAGAAAAGUGUAGUUCAUUUGCAACUCACUGGCACAAAUGCUUUUCUUCCAGACAACCAUCAUAGUUGAGUAAGCAGCAGAAGUGCCUAAUGCAUACUUUCCAUUUUAUCACGCAGAAUAUUAGCAGAACAUUUUCUCAAGGGUUGAGAUUUAAUAACACAAAUAAUUGUAACUACUUCAUCAAUGAUAUACUUAAGUGAAACAGGCAUGCAAUAAAAUGUUUUUGAAUAAAUGAAUAAACUGCCUUGUAUUAGGCCCACCAAGGUGAAUUUGAAGGUAUAUAUUUGCCUCAUGGAAACAGAACUAACACAGUGUUUCAUAAAUGAAAGUUCACAGAUAGAUCACAUUAAUUUAACUCAGAAUACUUUAUUGAAAUGUAGAACUGAGGCCCCAUUCCCAAAUAAUCGGAUUUGGUCCAUCUAGGGUGAAAAGAGAGACAAUGCAUAUUAAAAUACGCUCCAGAUAAUUUUGAAGAACUGUCAGUUUUGGGGACUGCCUGCUAAUGGGACUGUAGUUACAGAGUUUCUUUGGGCAAUGAUGAAAAUUCUCUCAAACUUUAUCAAAGGCCAAAAAAUGACUGGCUAAUAUUACUAAUUAGAAUUCUACUAUAAUCCCAUAGUACAAGUUUAUAGUUUUUAAAUCUCAAGUGUGUCAAAUGUAUAUUCUUGCCAAGCGUGCUACCCUCCACGAUAACAAGGAGAGACUGCUUCCAAGGACAGGGAUCAAGUGAGUCUCUGAGUUAAAUCCUGUCCUUCCUUUCAUAUUCUCCUUGAUUAACUUACAAAAUAAUUACAUUCUUUUAAAGUGUGUCCUCAUUAAUUACAGUUUUUUUGACAUAAUUUAAAAGAAUUAUUUUCUUAAGGUAUGCCAACAGAGGGUAAUAGAGGUGGGCUGGGACAUUUAUUCUUCUCUGAUCUUUCUCUGAUGCACCCAAAGGCUAUUUAAUGCACAACUGCCCUCUCAUUGCAACAUCAAAGCAUGUAAUUCACUAUUUAGGUUUUACUUUCACAGUAGAGAAAUUGUCCAGACUAAGCAUAUUAAAUCGUGUUGCAAAUGACUUUUUUUUGUGAGGUAAAAUAUAAAUAACACAAAUUUACCAUUUAAAAAAUUUUUAAGUAUAGAGUCCAAUGGCAUUAAGUACAUUUAUAUCAUUGUGUAACUAUCAUAACAAAUGACUUUUAUAUAAGUAAGUCAAUGGAAAAUUCAAGUAUAUCAUAUCUACAAAGUAUCUUCAAUUAUUAAAGUAAAACCAUAGUUUUAAUAAAAAACAUUAUCAAAAGACUUCAUAUAAACUAAUAAUCCUAUUGCUAAAUUCCUGACAUUGUUAUUUAUAGGACUGUCUUUUAAAAUAUAUUUACAUUUGAAUUUUUUAAUAACCCAAAGAUUUUCAUCCAGAUUUCAUAUUAAAAAUAAAUUCAUUGAUCCAUCAUGAUACAGAUUGCAUAUAAGUAUAUUAAAUGACAGACUUUUUAUCCUAGUUUCAUUUUAAAAACAAACUUUCCUAUCAAUCACGGGCAGAUGUUGAUAAGGUAAUAGCAGCUGUGGCAGAGAAUACAUUUUUAUUAAGGAAAAAUGACAAUGUAUGUCUUUAAUGGGUAAGAUUAUUAAUAGCUCUUUGCAAGUAUCAGACAGAAGUUUUUAUGAGUAUUUUAAGCAAAAGCUUUAAUAACCGAUAACUCAUUCACUGUGUUUCUUAUUGGGGUACCAGCUGCUACUGUUCCUUCUCUCUUCACAAGAAUUCAAAUUCCAAGGCUAUGUGUACCUGACAAUACCAGACAGGUCAAAACAUAGCCACCAACUUGACUAAGAGAAUUAACCAUUUAAGGCAAAAUAUCACGAGGUUUUCCCCUCUUUCCACAUCCUUCCUUCUUUAUGCCCUCUUCUUAAGCAUUGCUGUUUCCCAUGUAUCCAACUUCCUACUAAACCCAUAUAAUUGGACAAUACAUCUCAAUACAGUUACAAAACCCAACUCAUUAUUUCCUCCCCAACCUUCCCCACAAUGGGUGGGUGUUUUUGAUCUCAGUGAAGGUCACCACCCCUGACCAGUCUCUCUCCCCAUGCAGUGCCUCAGCUCCAGAACUAGUUUACCACAAUGGACUCUAAUGAGUUUUCCUGUCACUCAAUUCUCUUCUCUACACUACUAGAGUUAUCUUUCUAGUAUUUGAAUCUGAUUAUGUUUCUCCUUUACUUAAAAAUCCAUCAGUAAGAAAACAAGGAGCAGAAACUUUAAACAUUCCUAAAUACCCUCAUACUACUUGCUUCCCACUUUCCACUACACCCUCCAUUCCCAUUGUUCCCAAUAAUCAUCCUUCUCUCCAUUCAAACAGAAUUGACUGAAUUCUCCCAUGGAUAAAGCAGUUUUCUUUUUCUUAUAACACGCUUCACAUUGUCUCUUCUUCCAUUAAAAGUAAGCUGAAACAUCACUUCCCCCAUAAAGUGUUCUUUGAUCUUACCCCACCUCACCUCUCCAGCCAUAGCCCUAGGCCAAUUUAGGCAUCCCCUGUUUGUUCACCUAAAGCUGUCUCUACACACCUCUUCCCAUCAGAGUACCUCACAAUCCUAGAUUUACUUUUAUUUCCUCUACUAGAUUGUUGACUUUUGAGAGAAAGGGAUGUCUUACUUUCCUCUGAGGUACUAGAACCAAACACAGUAUUGGCUGCAGUAGCAAGCAAUAAAAGUUUGUUGAAUGGAUGAAUAGCUGAAUGAAUUUAAUCAACUAAAAUGUUUAGAUUUAAAUAUAUAGCCAACCAUACUAUAACAUGAGAAUCCAGAAUUAUUGUCCCACUAUUCAAAAUGCUCCUCUAUAAAUCCAGUCUACUAAAUGUUUAUGUUUCAUUUUGGUUAAUUCUUAGACAAGAGGGUUUAGUGCACUACAGAAACCAUCUCAUUAGAUUUUCAUAUAGUUUUAUUUUUCCUCAUUUAUGUAAUGUAUUACAUAUAUAUGUAUACUCUAGUGAAAAUUUUUUUGAUCUUGACUUACACAUUCAGUUGGUAGACAUUUGUGUGGGCAUGAAUAUAAACAUGUCUAGUCACGAGAAUAUCCUGAUUCAAAUAGGGAAGCAAAAGAUGACACGCUCUCAGACAGGAAGUGACUGUCAGCAUCCUUUAAAAAGAAACAACAGGCUGUGGUUCGUUUAUUUCCUUGCUUAUUUGUGACUUGCCCUCAGUGCCUGAUGAUGCUUGGUACAAAGAACUGAGUAAAACUAUCUUUUAUAUUUUCUAUUUAUAUAGCAAUUUACAUUUAAAAGCACUUUCAAGUUAAUUCUCUCCUUUGAAACAUUUGUUGAUAUGUCAAUUUUAGUUAAUAUUCCUGAAUAUUUGAUGAUUUUUAAAAGAAACCAAGUUAUAGAUUCAUUUUACUGUAUCUAAAAAUUAAAAUUCUAUUUUGGCUCAAUUUUGUAAAAAUAUCUCAAUUAUGUUUCAACUUUGUUUUGAAUUUUUAAAAUGGUCUGUCAGUCCAGUAAUCCCACUGCUGGGUAUAUACCCAAAAGAAAGAAAAUCAGUAUACUGAAGAGAUAUCUGCACACCUAUGUUUGUUGCAGUACUGUUUACAAUAGCUAAGUGUCCAUCAACAGAUCAAUGGGUAAAGAAAAUAUGGUACAUAUACACAAUGGAGCACUACUCAGCCAAAAAAAAGAAUGAGGUCCAGUCAUUUGCAACAUGAAUGGAACUGGAGAUCAUUAUGUGAAGCAAAAUAAGCCAGGCACAGAAAGACAAACAUUGCAUGUUCUCACUUAUUUGUGGGAUCCAAAAAUCAAAGCAAAUGAACUCAUGGGCAUAAGGGUGGUUACCAGAAUAUGGGAAGGGUAGUGGGGGUGGGGCAGUGGGGGGGAAAGGUAGGGAAAGUUAAUGAGUACAAAAAAUAUAUAAAUAAUGAAUAAGACCUACUAUUUGGUAGCACAAUAAGGUGACUAUAGUCAAUAGUAACGUAAUUUUACACUUUUAAAAAACUUAAAGACUGUAAUUGGAUUGUUUUUAACUAAAAGGAUAAAUGCUUGAGGGGAUGGAUACUCCAUUCUUCAUGAUGUGCUUAUUUCACAUUGCACGCCUGUAUCAAAACAUCUCAUGUAUCCCAUAAAUACAUAAACCUUCUCUGUACCCACAAAAAAUAAAAAUAAUAAAAAAGGUCUGUC
rnacentral:lncRNA from 1 species